rnacentral:rRNA from 1 species
UACGUAGAGUGCGAGCGUUAAUCGGAAUUACUGGGCGUAAAGCGUGCGCAGGCGGUUCGUUAAGUUCGAUGUGAAAGCCCCGGGCUCAACCUGGGAACUGCAUUGGAAACUGGCGAGCUUGAGUAUGGCAGAGGGGGGUGGAAUUCCGCGUGUAGCAGUGAAAUGCGUAGAGAUGCGGAGGAACACCGAUGGCGAAGGCAGCCCCCUGGGCCAAUACUGACGCUCAGGCACGAAAGCGUGGGGAGCAAACGGG